rnacentral:rRNA from 1 species
UGGGGAAUAUUGCACAAUGGAGGGAACUCUGAUGCAGCAACGCCGCGUGCGGGAUGACGGCCUUCGGGUUGUAAACCGCUUUCAGCCAUGACGAAGCUUUUGUGACGGUAGUGGUAGAAGAAGCACCGGCUAACUACGUGCCAGCAGCCGCGGUGAUACGUAGGGUGCGAGCGUUGUCCGGAAUUAUUGGGCGUAAAGAGCUUGUAGGCGGUUUGUCGCGUCGAUAGUGUAAACACGCAGCUUAACUGUGUGCCUGCUGUCGAUACGGGCUGACUAGAGGAGGGUAGGGGAGAAUGGAAUUCCCGGUGGAGCGGUGGAAUGCGCAGAUCUCGGGAGGAACACCAGUGGCGAAGGCGGUUCUCUGGACCUUUCCUGACGCUGAGAAGCGAAAGCGUGGGUAGCAAACAGG